UGACAUCAGCUCACACUGUUCCAAAUAGAAAGUGGGAAAAAUAAGAGCUGGUGUCUUUGGGCUGCCAACUUUGCACUUUCUUUCUUACUGAAAUCACUAGCUACCUGUCUCUUCACCUGUCUUGACAAUCAAAGAGCUCUUGAAGAGCCUUUCAAUUCACAUGUAAUGCUCCUUUUAUCAUACAUAAACAAAGAGAAAUUGCUUGAAAAAAUCAGAAAUCUUACCUAUCAUGCACUUAAGUUCAUGUCUCUGGACCUAUCAGAAGACCCUUAUCUCCUCAGACCGUUUCUGGUACUAGGAUUCACUGCUAUCUUAAUCAGGUAAGGGGGGCUGGGUGAUGCUAUAGUAUCUUCCUGCUAAAAUAGUGCCUUGAAGAUGUUUUCAACUCCACACAAAGAAACCUGGAUCUUUCUGCAUGGUUUUAAUUUGCAUGUUGUUUUGUUUGACAGAUCAGAAGACAAAGGCAGACAGCAAAUGUUUUGCUUUUCAUAGUUUAUUGUAUUUCAGAGUAUCAAUAGAGUAAUUUGCUAUCUUUCCAACUUUUCCUUGAACAACUUAGUAUCUCUUAUAUCAUUCUUCUUCCUUAAACAAUAUUUCUGAAAUUAUGUUAACUCAUAAAACUAGAGAUGACAAGAACUAAGAGUGAUUCAGAGGUCAAGCUUCUGUUCUUCUAUUCUGUUCACCCACAUCUAAGCAGAUCAUUCAGACAGAGAAAUCAAAUGUGUCUAAAAUCCUGGAUGCCUCGUGCUGGCUCCAGCAAUGAGCAUGGACAGCUACACCUGCCCAGUGGUACAGCUAGCUUUGGAUGCACCAUGGCUAAGGGGACACAACCUGGGAGAGACUGAGGAUGAUCCAUAUGAAUAUAGCAGUGGUUAAACAGACUUUUCAUUUUGAGCACAUACUGAAAACUCCACUUGUCUCACUGAGAUACUCUGAACAAAAGGCUUUGUUCAAAGAUAAGAUAGAUAUAAGUGUUGCAAGCUCUCAGAGACAAAUGUCUGACCAGCUGCAACCUAAUUCAUCACCUGUUAAGCAACGAUGGUAAACACCAGGUCUUUCCAUCAAAGCCCCAGCGUUACUUGCUAGGAUCUGCAUGAGCCACUGUGCAUCAGAGUUCAGGACAGAGAACAGAAACCCCUGAAGAACAGAAUAGGUCCCCACUGUGUAACAUUUGAUAGGCAAAACUGUAUAGACCAGGUGAGUAAAGCCAUGUUUCUCAUGCAUCUCUCACAGAAGAUGUCUGACUUGUACACAUCAUGAAGCAACCACUCAAGUGAAGCAAGGUCCUAAUGAAUGUCCUUCACUAACUACUGGGGAUCUGGGAAGUCAGAAAAGAAGGCAAUUUGAGAGAAAUAUUGCUUUGGGAAAAACAGGGAUGGCGUAAUUCAUUUCUGUAGUGAGAAAAUGCAGCUGUUAGCAUCUUUUGCCUUCCCUUGAGUCACUGCGACGUUCUGUGCAUUCUGGUCAAAGUUCAUGGAAACUGAUACAUUUCUGGAAGUGUUUUGAUCGACUGGCACUUUAUGAUGCGAAAAAUAUAAUUAAUUUUAAGGUGCUGUAAAAACUUGCGACAAAUACUUUUUCUUUACGUAUAUAUAAUGGGGAUUUUAUUAUGUAUUUUAUUGUUAUUUAGAAACAAUAGCGAAAUUUAAAUAUUUUCAAUUGAGAGUUCUGGCUUCCCACACUUUCUAUUUAGAUCCAGUCUACCACAGAGCAAUUCUCUCACACACUGUACUUGAUCCUGUUUGCUUUAUUUAGAUUAAGAAGCAGGCAACUCGACUCUACUUCUAGCUGAUGGCAAGCAUCAUCUGCAUGCUUUGCUUUACUGUCAUGCACGGUGACUGUUAAUAAACCUUUCCCUGCCACAGCA
ensembl:lncRNA